AGGCGGGGCCGGCGCGCUCGCGGCCCGUGAAGUCCGCCAGGACCGGAAGGUAGCAACGGUAAGCGGAUACCGGAGGUGUUGCCGUAACCCCGCUUUUU
rnacentral:SRP_RNA from 1 species